rfam:Pteropus alecto contig159660, whole genome shotgun sequence.
GUCUACGACCAUGCUACUCUGAACAAGCCCAAUCCCAUCUGAUCUCGGAAGCUAAGCAGGGUUGGGCCUGGUUAGUACUUGGAUGGGAGACUACCUAGGAAGACCAUGUGCUGUAGGCG